rnacentral:lncRNA from 1 species
ACGGAGCUUAUGACCCCCCCCCCCCCCCUGGCUGGAGCAAUAUCCGUCAUAAUGACAAUAACAGUAUUGACAAUGACUAGCCGAUCUGGUUUAGACAGACGAUUCAUAAUUAAAGGUUCUUAGAGAUCUUCAUCAUGCAUAUUAAAAAAAAAUCCUGUCGUUAUAAUGCUACCAGCAGAAGUUAGCAGCUGAGGAAGGCGAGUAAGGCCGAAAUCGAAAACUUCAGAGUGCUGUUCAGAUGCAAUGAAACUGAGUAUUAUAUGCGAGCGUCGCGAAGAUGCGUCGAGUGCUGGUUACCGUUGGAAUUUGAAAUAAUCUUCUGGGUCGAGGCAUCUCGCACGUGUCUAAUUCAGGUAAACAAUAUCGAAACGAAGCAAGCAGCACCUGCGUACAAUAAAGUCGACUACCACGCAGAACAGACAUCAACGAUGGCGCAUAUCAAAAUUGACAGCCACGUCGAUGUCCUCGUAAACGUCACUGAGGCUGUUCAGGCGUUCUCAUACGCUUCGGAGUGCGUUUUACCGAAGAAAUUUUAAAAACAAGGAAUCGACAAUCUAACCUAGAAACUCAACCAUUACAGCACUUUCGGCACGCCUGAUUCAAUUCGGGAACGAUGUUCGUAACUUGAAAAUGCUUAUUUACAGACGAUUACCCGCAGAUUUAAAGCGGCACAAGAAGUCCUGUGCACAAAAAAACAUUGGAAGGGGUGUUUGUCACGUGAACAACAACAACAACAAUUAUAGACGUGUCACAAUGCUGUGGUGGCGUGGCAAAGAUGUGGACGCGUUCAUACGCACCAUCUACCAAUUUCACGCAAGGAUCGUGAUCCUCUUUCUACAGAUACAUUCGAAAACUUUUGAAGGAAGUUAUUCCAUUUUGUCGCUAAAAGAUAACUUGUCGAUAUGCAGAGAUAUGUAUA